GCCCUUGACGGCCUCGUGCCGGGCGCCGAGCGCUCCCUGGCGGCCUCAGCCGGCAUCGAAUCACCGCGGUUCCCAGAGAGCGUGAGGAGCUGGCGUGGACACCCCGGGAAUGGACCGUACCCUUUUUCAAAAGGAACUCAUGAUGUAUACAAGUACUAAGGAUAAGGAAGAUCCAGCUAUGAAUAGGUGUCUUUCUUCCCUGUGCUCACAAUAGGGCGAAUAGGAAUCCAAAAGCCUCUCAAACUAAUGUUUACAAAACAAUAUGGGAAGAUGUGUGAAGGGCCCACGGGUGCAGCAAGAGGAGUGAUCCCAUUCCUGCAUGCCUCAUUUAGCAUGACUUAAGACAAACAUGGAGGGAGCAUUGCAUCACCACAUCAGUCAGAAGCAAAAGAGGACAUCAGUUGGAAAGGGCCCUUUGGCACUGUGUAGCAACAAUCCCAAAAUCAUUCAUCCUGGAGGAGAAAGGUUGGACUACCCAGGGAGGACUGCCUGACACCUGUCAUGGAAUCUUCUGCCGGGGUAGGGUAACUACCCUGGGUGCGAGUGAUGGGGCAGAAAGGAGAUGGCAUGCAGUCAUACACAGAAUAAAAGAUGUCUGCUACCACCCUGUAGUCCUCAGGUGCUGUGGACCACCAGCAGUUCCACAGUCAGAACACUGACAAAGGAGGGCCAGCACAAGGUCCCCAACACAUGGCUCAUGACCAAGGGUUGGUAGAGGACUAUUGAUAGCCCAGAGACCUGAACUCAUCUUGUGUUUGACCCCAAAUAAGCAUGUCAACACUAUUCUGGAGACCCAAUUUCACACUAUUUUAUGAAAGAGCUGUGCUAGCCAGCAAGAGUGACUGACUUACCUGCAAGGUGCUCUCAAAUUCUUGUUUUCUUUUUUGUAGAGAUGGCAUCUCGCUUUGUUACCCAGGCUGGUCUUGAACUCCUGGCUUUAAAGGAUCCUCCCACCUCAGCCUCCCAAAGUGCUAGGAUUACAGGCAUAAGCCACCAUGCCUCGCCUCAAAGAUAACAUAAUAAAUGAUUAUUGUUUUAAGCCACUGA